GUGUUAAAGAAGCUAUCAAUUGUUUUUAAUAACCCAGGAGUGAAUUGCAUUUGGUCUACACUGUGACGUUGUUCAUCCUGCUGUGUGCACGGGGAGCCGGACCCACCUGAAAUGCAUGAAUGCGCUCUCUCACUCUCCGGUUAGAUGAAUGGACAGCACUCACAGGUGAUCGGAAGGAUGGGAAAGAGAAGCAAUGGCUGUCCUUGUGGUGUGACUCAAGAUACCUCAAGGUCAAGAUGACGUCUGAUAGUUCUUCCCCUGGCUGGCAGCAACUCCAGUCCCCUCACUCCCACCUUACUGAAGUUUGCAGGUAGGUGCUUUCUGGAGACAUUUACUCUGUAAAUGGAUUAAGAUCUUAUUACCUAGAAGGUAACGUCUUGGAUAGUUUCUACAUAGCGGGGCUUUGCUUAUCUAGAGAGUCCUUUAGCGUUCAGUUUCACCUAAGGGACAGACGUGAGCUGGGAAAGAAGAAUGGGA
rnacentral:lncRNA from 1 species